AUGAGUUUCCUCCAGCAGCUACAGACUAAACGAAAGGCCUUGAAAGCCACUGCCACCACUGUAACCACAGCCAGUGGCAAACGUUUUAUCGAAGCAAACGCAACUACCUCAACAUCAAUACAACAACUACCAGAACAGUGUUAUGGUUUUGUAGUUGAUACCAAACCAGAUACUACACCAGCAUGCAUUCUAGCCGAUUUCCUCUACUUGGGCUCACAAGAUGCUGUAAAUAGUGAAAAUAUAAGUGCAUAUAAGUUAACACACAUUUUAAGCGUUGGCAUUGAGACACCACACUUAGUUGGUGGGAAAGUGUAUACCAAAUUUUUGCCAUGUCUCGAUUUGCCUGAAACGGUACUAUCCGAGCGUAUUAUCCCAGCGGCGAACCAAUUCAUUAAAGACGCGGCAUUGUCUCGCGGUCGUGUGUUAGUGCAUUGUAAUGCUGGUGUUUCGCGCGCGGCCAGCAUUGUUAUUGCUUAUUUAAUAUUAGUGCGUGGUAUACCGUUUGACGUUGCCUAUGCGUUAGUAAAGUCAAGACGGGAAUGCAUACAACCAAAUGUAGGAUUUAUUAAGCAGUUAAAACAACUUUAAUUAGACGAAGUGUAGUUCUAUGUUUUUGAAUUCAUAUUUUGAAAGUGAAAAAUAGUAAUAGUGAAAUAGUGAUAAAUGAUUUAGUGGAGCAAAAGUGAUGUGAAAUUUAUGGCGAAAUUGCUAAAUAAAUUAGUGAAAAUGGUUUAAUUUUUGGAUUACACAAAUGGGUGCUGAAGUUUGUGGAUGAGAACUAAUUGCAGAUCUAAUUUUUUUUGUGGUGAAAUAAUCGAAGGCAUUCAUAUACAAUACAAUUUUUUAUAAACUUUUUGCCUUCUAGCAUGCUUAAUUUAGCAUUUCCCAUACGUUUACCACUACCGGUUUUGUACUCCAGUAAUACCCACCCACACAAACAUAUGCAUUUCAUUGUGGCUCACACCCUCAAUCAAUUCGAUAGCAACAGGGCGUCGUACAACGGUUUUUAUAGUAGACCAGUGUGACAAAUAAUUGAAUUAUAUGAGUAUAUAUCAAUAUAUGUAUAUUGGAUUAAGUAUUUAUGUGGCGGAGAAAAAACAUUGCAAGCGUGGGCUAGUUGAGGUACUAGAAGAACCAGCGAACAAGGCAGACACGUGGGCGUAGCGCUGAUUGCAUAUUUAAGCCGCAAAUAAUGACCAACAAUGUAUAUAUAGACAAAAAGCAGUACAUACAUAUAUGCACAUAGCAGUACAUAUUUAUAUCGACACAAAAGAGCUGGGCAAACUUUAAGAUGUGAAAGUGCACAACAGCUGUUCCAGAGCAAAGCGACAACAAACGUUUCUUGAUGAAUAAAUAUGUAUGUAUAUAAGUACACAUCUGUGUAUAUAUACAUGUAUGCUUGCGCUUGGCUACUAUAUUAAUUUCACGCCUUUAGCGCAUAAAUUGCUGCAUAUUAU